UCUAUUUGAAUCUCUGACAGUACAAACUGGCAACGGGAAGGGCGUGGUUACCAAGUGGUCUGACUGUACGACAUUGGGUUCAGACGACUGUAAUCCUGUCCAUGAUGAUUGGAGCGCCAAUCGGUGUUUACAUGGUUUGCUUAUCCAGCAUACCUCCUGCUUGUAAGAUUCUGGUCAUAGGACUUGCUGUUGUGCUGGAAUACGUGUGUCUUAGACUUCUUGGAUUGAACAUGCUACUCGUUUACCGCAGAGCACGUCUCGCCACGAUGAGAAUUAUUGGUGUGCCUGUGACCUCUUCUCAACCUCUCGAGGAGAGCCAUCUUGCUCCUGAAGCAGUCGAUAUCACUACAGCAUAAGCUGUAGGGUGGUACUUCACAAAUAAUACUCUUUAGGGAGCUACUCUCCAUGAGCACUACUGUGGCUUUCUGUAACAUGUAUGUGGAACAUACACAGAGACAAUUUCUUUUCAUAGGUAAUUUCUUUGCGGUUUGUUUUAAAGAGUUGGGGACUGAUCGGUUAUUAUCUCGAUGACAUGGCUCGUUGUGCUCUGCACUUCCUCAAACUGGAUCCAAAUGUUAAUUUUAUGAGCUGAUAGCGCGGAAACUAGAAGCUUUUCGUGGAAAACCUGUCGGACUGUACCAGUUUUUCAUUUGAUGAUCUAGAGAAUCCUUCUUCAUGUUCGCCUGAGGAAACAAGUGUCCAUUUUGGCAAAUCAUCGUUAAAGCGCUCGUCAAGUGUCCGAUUUGUGUUAUCCAAUCAGAGAAUAGCACGAACGCUCAAGUACCCCGACAGUUGUCACACCGUUAUGGCGCAAUCAGUUGCUUAGCAACUACUGGACGAAAACUGCUGGUUUAGUCCGGUCUCGGAGACCGGAAUUAACCAUCAACUCGUACUUGUUCCCCUUAGGGACUGUAUUAAAUUUAGCCUAAAGAAACUUGUCGCUUACGGCAUAGUUAAUAGAGGGAAAUGGUUAUGAAACCUGGCAAAGUUCUUUGUUGUAUGUUUUUGUUCGUUAUUUUACGUUUUUUUUUUCUGCAGAAAACGUAGCAAAAUACGAAAGGCGGGUAUGUGGGUUCAUACAACUAACCAAUAGAAGCAUUGCGAUUAUGCAGUCAGUGAACAUGAAACAAAAGAUGUGCAGGGUCAAGGA